ACAUAAUAUGAUUUAAAUUGAUGAUUUAUAGUUACACCUAUUGAAAUUCUGUAUCUCAAUGAUAUCCUGGCUUAUCGAUACGAUAUCCUGUAAAUCCACUCACAUACAAAUUUUACUUACACACGUAAUUCCUGUAAAUUCACUCACACACAUAAAUCUCAAAAAAGAUGUUUUUAUUUUUAUUUAUAAAUUGUAAAUUUUAUAUAAAUAAAUUGUAUAUUUUUUAUGUUUUUCAUUGUAUAUUACUACUUGUACAAAAAUCGACUUUGGAAAUAUUGCAAGUGCAGAGUUCAACAUA